GCCGGAGAAACGGACGCCGCCUACCGCCUCUUCGCCGCCUCCCCCUCCCUCCUCGAGUCCCCCACCGCGGCCUCCCGCCUCCUCGCACAGCUCUCCUACAGGUCCACGUCCUCCCACACCUUUUCCCGCGCCGCGGGCCUGCUGCACCGCCUCCGCGCCCAGGGCGGCCUCAACCUCCUCGACGCCAACUCCCUCUCCCUCGCCGCCUCCGCCGCAGCCCGCUCCGGCAGCGCCCACCUCGCCUACUCCCUCCUCCUCUCCAUGCUCCGUCGUGGCCUCCUCCCCGACCGCCGCGCCUACACCGCCGCCGACUCCCGUCUCCGCCCCGCCCACGCGCUCCGCCUCUUCGACGCCAUUCUCCACCACCUCCGCCGCGCUCCGGACUCCAGCUCGGCGUCCUUCGCGCUCCCCGACACGGCCGCGUUCAACGCCGCGCUCAGCGCCUGCGCCGACGCCGGCGACUGCCGCCGCUUCCGCCAGCUGUUCAACGAGAUGCGCAGCUGGCCUGGCGCGGCCCCUGACGCCCUCACCUACAGCAUCGCCAUCAAGAUGUGCGCGUGCGCCGGACGCCGGGACCUCGUCGCGCGCGUGCUCGAGCGGAUACUCUCCUCCGGCCUCGCCCCCUGCGCCACCACCUUCCACUCCCUCGUCGCCGCCUACGUCGGCUUCGGCGACAUCCCCACGGCGGAGAGGAUCGUGCAGGCCAUGCGGGACGGCCGCAGCGACGCCUGCCUCCUGCUCAGGCAUGUCGCAGUGGAAGGAAACAAGGAGAAGGGCAUUGCUAUCGUCGUCGACGAGCACAGCGACGUGCUCGAGGACAUCGUCGGGCCAAGGCCGGAGGAAGGCACCGAGGCGCCGUUGCUGUCGAGGACGUACCCGCCCAACUCGAGGGUGUACACCACGCUGAUGAAGGGGUACAUGAACGCCGGGCGCGUGGACGACGUGGUGUCCAUGGCGCGCGCCAUGCGGCGAGAGGGGGAAACGAUGCCGGCGAGCCGGCCAGACCACGUCACGUACACGACGGUGGUCUUGACCCUCGUGGCUGCCUGCGACAUGGAGCGCGCGCACGCGGUGCUUGACGAGAUGGCGAGAGCAGGGGUCCCGGCGAGCCGGGUGACGUACAACGUGCUCAUCAAGGGGUACUGCCAGCAGCUGCAGAUGAGCAGGGCGAGGGAGCUCUUGGAGGAGAUGACGACGGACGCCGACAUCGAGGCCGACGUGGUGACGUACAACACCCUCAUCGACGGGUGCGUCCUGAUGGACGACACCGCCGGCGCGCUGGCCCUGUUCAACGAGAUGCGGACGCGCGGGGUGGCGCCGUCGACGGUGAGCUACACGACGCUGAUGAAGGCGUUCGCGGCGUCGGGGCAGCCCAAGGUGGCGCACAAGGUGUUCAAGGAGAUGGAGAAGGACCCGAGGGUGACGGUGGACAGGCCGGCCUAG
rnacentral:rRNA from 1 species